UGGGGAAUAUUGCACAAUGGGCGCAAGCCUGAUGCAGCAACGCCGCGUGAACGAUGAAGGUCUUCGGAUCGUAAAGUUCUGUUGCAGGGGAAGAUAAGACGGUACCCUGUGAGGAAGCCCCGGCUAACUACGUGCCAGCAGCCGCGGUAAUACGUAGGGGGCUAGCGUUAUCCGGAUUUACUGGGCGUAAAGGGUGCGUAGGUGGUCUUUCAAGUCGGUGGUUAAAGGCUACGGCUCAACCGUAGUUAGCCUCCGAAACUGGAAGACUUGAGUGCAGGAGAGGAAAGUGGAAUUCCCAGUGUAGCGGUGAAAUGCGUAGAUAUUGGGAGGAACACCAGUAGCGAAGGCGGCUUUCUGGACUGCAACUGACACUGAGGCACGAAAGCGUGGGUAGCAAACAGG
rnacentral:rRNA from 1 species